GGUGUGAGUAGAAAAGAGAGGGGCUGGAUUGGAGUUCCACGCCAAUGACUACGGGUAUAUCACGGCAAGGCAGCUAGUCCUGUAAUCAGAUUCCACAUGCUGAGAGCGCAGAGAAGAGGACAACACUGAACUUUAUUGGACUCUUCUUUACAGGUCAUCAUGCAGUCCUUGAGUUUACAAGAUCGGAAGGUUAUUAGCCAGAUCUUCAUAGAACUAGAUGCGGACGGAAAUGGAUACCUUGACCGACAGGAGUUUGGAACUUGCUUCCGCAGACUUGGCUUCAAACUGACUGCUGUGCAGGAGGAGGGUCUGUUCAGAGCUGUGGAUGCAAAUAUGGAUGGAAGGUCACUCUCGAUGAAUUCUUAGAGGUAUUCACUCAGGCCCAAGAAAGUGAACCAGCUCUCAGCACGCAAGCAGAACUACGGCGUGCAUUUGAGGAGAUGGAUGUCAAUGGGGAUGGCUACUUGAGCUC